rnacentral:rRNA from 1 species
AUAUCAAUAAGCGGAGGAAAAGAAACCAACAGGGAUUGCCUUAGUAACGGCGAGUGAAGCGGCAACAGCUCAAAUUUGAAAUCUGGCCCUCGGGUCCGAAUUGUAAUUUGUAGAGGAUGAUUUUGGUGCGGUAUCUUCCGAGUUCCUUGGAACAGGACGCCUUAGAGGGUGAGAGCCCCGUACGGUUGAAUGCCUAGCCUCUGUAAAUCUCCUUCGACGAGUCGAGUAGUUUGGGAAUGCUGCUCUAAAUGGGAGGUAAAUUUCUUCUAAAGCUAAAUAUUGGCCAGAGACCGAUAGCGCACAAGUAGAGUGAUCGAAAGAUGAAAAGCACUUUGAAAAGAGGGUUAAAUAGCACGUGAAAUUGUUGAAAGGGAAGGAUUUGUGACCAGACUUUUUCUGGGCGGAUCAUCCGGGGUUCUCUCCGGUGCACUUUGCCCAGUAAAGGCCAGCAUCGAUUUUCGGCGGCGGAUAAAAGCAGUGGGAAUGUGGCUCCCUACGGGGAGUGUUAUAGCCCAUUGUAUAAUACGCUGCUGGGGAUCGAGGUACGCGCUUCUGCAAGGAUGCUGGCGUAAUGGUUAUCAAUCACCCGUCUUGAAACACGGACCAAGGAGUCGAACAUUUAUGCGAGUGUUUGGGUGUUAAACCCUCACGCGUAAUGAAAGUGAACGGAGGUGAGAGCCCGUACGGGUGCAUCAUCGACCGAUCCUGAAGUUUUCGGAUGGAUUUGAGUAAGAGCAUAACUGUUCGGACCCGAAAGAUGGUGAACUAUGCGUGGAUAGGGUGAAGCCAGAGGAAACUCUGGUGGAGGCUCGCAGCGGUUCUGACGUGCAAAUCGAUCGUCAAAUCUGCGCAUGGGGGCGAAAGACUAAUCGAACCAUCUAGUAGCUGGUUACCG